rnacentral:rRNA from 1 species
GUUGUGGGCGUAGGGUAUUUGAGAAGGCUUGUUCCUAGUACGAGAGGACCGGAAUGAGUUAGCCUCUGGUGUUCCAGUUGUUUACCACAAGCAAGCUGGGUAGCUAAGCUGAUAAGAGAUAACCGCUGAAAGCAUCUAAGUGGGAAACUCGCCUCAAGAUUAGAUCCCUGUAUUCUGGUUAACAGAGUAAGACCGCAGGUAGACCACCUGCUAUAUAGGCAACAAGUGUAAGCGCAGUAAUGUGUUGAGCUAAGUUGUACUAAUGGUCGAGGGCUGAAUCCC